GUAGUUCGAUGGAGAAUUUUCGACAUUCUUUUUGCACAUCUAUAGAAAGUGCCAAGACAAAUAAUUUUCUGAAAAAAAUGGGAACAUUUUUGAAAAGUGUUGGCAUGGCAGUUUUGGACAAACUGCUCUAGAAUAUGGAGCAUAAGUCUCAACGCCCUGACUUUUUAUAGUUCCUCAGAUCUAGAAAUUUAUACGGACGGAAAUGGACAAAUCGCGGUUUUUAUUAUUUUACGAAAAUUGAAGCAGUAGUCAACCUGCGCUGCAUACAGGCUUAGUCCCAACUAGCACUUAAGGUUCGCGAUGUUCCCAAGUUCAUACAAUCGGGCAGACGGACAAAAGACCAUGGGAAAGCACGACUCGUUUUGUAAUCAUGGACUACAGAGAACUCAUAUACACCCACUUACAAAAAAUCCAAUUUAAUUUUUCGCUGCUCAAGUCACAAAACUAUUGACAAUGAAGACAAACCCGGAUCAAAUAAAACCACAAGGUCCACCCAAAUAAUACGCCUCUAAGAGAAGGAAUUGAACAACAUUGUAAAUGAACCAACACCACCAAAAACGAAACAGGACGUAGAAGAUUAAUUGCCCUUCAUACCUAAAAUAUUGGAAAUGUAAAGCGACAGCUAACUGAGCUCGCCAACCGUUGAAAUCCGACGAACAUAGCGUAAGGCUCGUGUGGUUGUUUGAAGAUAUUCCAAGACGCACGCGCAAAGGUCCACCUGCUCCUUGUCGGUUAUGUGGGUGGUGCUCUUUUCCUGGAAUCUCAGCCUUAUUUCAUUGUGACGAUUAUCGAUAUGAUUGCGUGCUACGAGCUUUCGCUCGAUCCUCAACUGUGGUGAAGGAUCAUGUAAUGCCCGUCCUUCCUUGGCCAUUCUAUACAGAAAAUCCCAAAAAGUUAUCAUCCUGAAUGGCCCCUCACAGGGAAUACAUCCUAGUCAGAGUUUUUUUACAGCUAUUAUACGGACGGAAGGAUGAUCUCCUUGGAAAAUAAUUAAAUUAGACAAAAUAGUUUUAGAUUUAAGAAACUUAUCAGACUUGCAACCCAAGAAAUAAUUAAAAAUAAAAUACAUUGCUCUGGGCAUAGAACACCAUA